GUCGAGCGGACAGAUGGGAGCUUGCUCCCUGAUGUUAGCGGCGGACGGGUGAGUAACACGUGGGUAACCUGCCUGUAAGACUGGGAUAACUCCGGGAAACCGGGGCUAAUACCGGAUGGUUGUCUGAACCGCAUGGUUCAGACAUAAAAGGUGGCUUCGGCUACCACUUACAGAUGGACCCGCGGCGCAUUAUCUAUUUGGUGAGGUAACGGCUCACCAAGGCGACAAUGCGUAGCCGACCUGAGAGGGUGAUCGGCCACACUGGGACUGAGACACGGCCCACACUCCUACGGGAGGCGGCAGUAGGGAAUCUUCCGCAAUGGACGAAAGUCUGACGGAGCAACGCCGCGUGAGUGAUGAAGGUUUUCGGAUCGUAAAGCUCUGUUGUUAGGGAAGAACAAGUGCCGUUCAAAUAGGGCGGCACCUUGACGGUACCUAACCAGAAAGCCACGGCUAACUACGUGCCAGCAGCCGCGGUAAUACGUAGGUGGCAAGCGUUGUCCGGAAUUAUUGGGCGUAAAGGGCUCGCAGGCGGUUUCUUAAGUCUGAUGUGAAAGCCCCCGGCUCAACCGGGGAGGGUCAUUGGAAACUGGGGAACUUGAGUGCAGAAGAGGAGAGUGGAAUUCCACGUGUAGCGGUGAAAUGCGUAGAGAUGUGGAGGAACACCAGUGGCGAAGGCGACUCUCUGGUCUGUAACUGACGCUGAGGAGCGAAAGCGUGGGGAGCGAACAGGAUUAGAUACCCUGGUAGUCCACGCCGUAAACGAUGAGUGCUAAGUGUUAGGGGGUUUCCGCCCCUUA
rnacentral:rRNA from 1 species